CAGCCCUUGACAUGCACAGGACGCCGGUAGAGAUAUCGGUUCCCUUGUGGUCUGUGUGCAGGUGGUGCAUGGCUGUCGUCAGCUCGUGUCGUGAGAUGUUGGGUUAAGUCCCGCAACGAGCGCAACCCUUGUCUCAUGUUGCCAGCGCGUUAUGGCGGGGACUCGUGAGAGACUGCCGGAGUCAACUCGGAGGAAGGUGGGGAUGACGUCAAGUCAUCAUGCCCCUUAUGUCCAGGGCUUCACACAUGCUACAAUGGCCGGUACAAAGGGCUGCGAUGCCGUGAGGCUUAGCGAAUCCUUGAAAGCCGGUCUCAGUUCGGAUCGGGGUCUGCAACUCGACCCCGUGAAGUCGGAGUCGCUAGUAAUCGCAGAUCAGCAACGCUGCGGUGAAUACGUUCCC
rnacentral:rRNA from 1 species